CAGCAGCCGCGGGAAUACGUAGGGUGCAAGCGUUAAUCGGAAUUACAGGGCGUAAAGCGUGCGCAGGCGGUUCGUUAAGACAGAUGUGAAAUCCCCGGGCUUAACCUGGGAACUGCAUUUGUGACUGGCGGGCUAGAGUAUGGCAGAGGGGGGUAGAAUUCCACGUGUAGCAGUGAAAUGCGUAGAGAUGUGGAGGAAUAUCGAUGGCGAAGGCAGCCCCCUGGGCCAAUACUGACGCUCAUGCACGAAAGCGUGGGGAGCAAACAGGAUUAGAUACCCCGGUAGUCCCUGUCUCUUAUAC
rnacentral:rRNA from 1 species